rnacentral:rRNA from 1 species
AUUGAACGCUGGCGGCAGGCCUAACACAUGCAAGUCGAGCGGAGCGGCGGACGGGUGAGUAAUGCCUAGGAAUCUGCCUGGUAGUGAGGGAUAACGUCCGGAAACGGGAGCUAAUACCGCAUGCUCUCAGAUGAGCCUAGGGCGGAUUAGGUAGUUGGGGGGGUAAAGGCCUACCAAGGCGACGAUCCGUAACUGGUCUGAGAGGAUGAUCAGUCACACUGUAACUGAGAACCGGUCCAGACUCCUAAGGGAGGCAGCAGUGGGGAAUAUUGGGCAAUGGGCGAAAGCCUGAUCCAUCCAUGCCGCGUGUGUUAAGAAGGUCUUCGGAGUGUAAAGCACUUUAAGUUGGGAGGCGUUACCAACAGAAUAAGCACCGGCUAACUUCGUGCCAGCAGCCGCGGUAAUUC